CACGGGGGGAGCAAGCGUUGUUCGGAAUCACUGGGCGUAAAGGGCGUGUAGGCGGUCAGGUAAGUGAGAUGUGAAAUGCCCCGGCUCACCCGGGGACCGGCAUCUCAUACUGCUUGGCUUGAGUACGGGAGAGGAUGUGGGAAUUCCUGGUGUAGCGGUGAAAUGCGUAGAUAUCAGGAGGAACACCGGUAGCGAAGGCGCACAUCUGGCCCGAUACUGACGCUGAGGCGCGAAAGCUAGGGGAGCAAACGGG
rnacentral:rRNA from 1 species